AUGCGGUUCUCCCGGCUGAAGGCUGGAGGUCCAAGAUUGAUCCAUUUGGGAGGAGUCAUGGUGACCUUCAUGCUCGCGUUCUUGUGGCUGCAGCUGGACCGCGGCCGAGGAGAGCAGGUGGAGCAGCACCCUUCCACCCUGCGCGUCCGGGAGGGAGACAGCUGUGUUCUCAACUGUACUUAUUCAGACAGCGGAUCAUCCUACUUCCCUUGGUACAGGCAAGAAGCCGGCCAGGGUCCCCAGCUCGUCAUUGACAUUCGCUCUAAUGUGGCGAGAAACCAAAAGCACAGACUCCUCGUUUCCAUCAACAAGGCCGCCAGGCUCGUCUCCCUGCGCAUCUCAGCCGCCCAGCCCAGAGACUCAGCCGUGUACUUCUGUGCAGCUGGCGCACAGUGCUUCCUGGGCCCCGCGGGCUGUGCAGAAACCUGCCGUGCUGAGUCCUCCCUGUCCUUUGCACAGACUGUACAGUACGUGCCGUGUUGGUUUGUGACAGCUACCACAGAGACGUGA